AUUCAAUUUAAAAUAAUGGAAGGAUACAAACUACGCUCCUGCAUAGUUGGGCAUGAAAAAGAUGUACGUGCCGUGACUCCAACAUUAUUUCCAAGUGAUGGUAUUCUUUCGGGAUCCCGAGAUGUUACAGCAAGAGUUUGGAUACCAAAUGAAAUGGAUCCCGGGUUUCACCCAGGUUUGCUGAUGAGGGGUCAUAGUAACUUUGUGUCAGCAGUGUGUGUUAUGCCCCCUGAUUCCACCUAUGAACAAGGGUUACUCAUCACAGGAAGUAAUGAUAAGACUAUAUUAGGAUAUACUCCAGACUCGCCAGAACCAGUCUUCAAACUUACAGGACACGAAGGAAAUGUAUGCACCCUGGCAGCAGGAAAAUUUGGAACACUUCUAAGUGGAUCAUGGGACAAAACUGCAAGAGUUUGGUUAAACCAAAAAUGUGUCAUGACUCUGAAAGGACAUGAAGCAGCAGUUUGGGCUGUAGGAAUAAUGCCAGAACAGGGCUUCAUGUUAACAGGGUCUGCUGACAAAACAAUCAAGCUGUGGAGAGCUGGCAGGUGUGAGAUUACAUUCAAAGGACAUGAGGACUGUAUUAGAGGACUAGCCGUGUUGAACAACCAGGAGUUUAUUUCCUGCUCCAAUGAUGCGUCUCUCCGUCGAUGGUCCGUGUCGGGAGACUGUCUACAGGUUUAUUACGGCCACGAGAACUUUAUCUACAGUGUGGCUGUGUUACCCAAUGGUCAGGACUUUAUCAGUGGGGGUGAGGACAGGACCAUGAGGGUAUGGAGGGAUGGGAAGUGUGUACAGACCAUCGCCCAUCCUGCCCAGUCUGUCUGGGCUGUGUGUGUUCUUCCAUGCAAUGGAGAUAUUGUUUCAGCAGCAAGUGAUGGUGUAAUACGAGUGUUUACAACAAAACCAGAGAGAAUGGCCCCUGCAGAAUCUUAUUAUUCCAAUGCAGACCCGAGUCGAACCCAAGAAAGUGAGCGAGUGUGCGGGAUUCGUGAUAAAUCGUUUACAAUAGUCAUUCUUUUUUUAAAUACUGUUUAGUGCUUCUUCUUUUUUGAAAACAUGACACAGUUUGGUAAAUAUAUGUAAUUCAAUCAUUAAAGUCUGGUGGUUG
rnacentral:misc_RNA from 1 species